GUUUCAGACGGACCCCUGUGGUGUUGAAGC
rnacentral:other from 1 species